UACGAAGGGGGCUAGCGUUGCUCGGAAUUACUGGGCGUAAAGGGCGCGUAGGCGGUCCUGCUUGUCGGGCGUGAAAUCCCGGGGCUCAACCUCGGGGCUACGUCCGAGACGGCGGGGCUGGAGCGCGGGAGAGGGUGGUGGAAUUCCCAGUGUAGAGGUGAAAUUCGUAGAUAUUGGGAAGAACACCGGUGGCGAAGGCGGCCACCUGGCCCGUGACUGACGCCGAGGCGCGACAGCGUGGGGAGCAAACAGG
rnacentral:rRNA from 1 species